rnacentral:rRNA from 1 species
AACGAACGCUGGCGGCAGGCUUAACACAUGCAAGUCGAACGCCCCGCAAGGGGAGUGGCAGACGGGUGAGUAACGCGUGGGAACAUACCCUUUUCUACGGAAUAGCUCUGGGAAACUGGAAUUAAUACCGUAUACGCCCUACGGGGGAAAGAUUUAUCGGUGAAGGAUUGGCCCGCGUUGGAUUAGCUAGUUGGUGGGGUAAAGGCCUACCAAGGCGACGAUCCAUAGCUGGUCUGAGAGGAUGAUCAGCCACAUUGGGACUGAGACACGGCCCAAACUCCUACGGGAGGCAGCAGUGGGGAAUAUUGGACAAUGGGCGCAAGCCUGAUCCAGCCAUGCCGCGUGAGUGAUGAAGGCCUUAGGGUUGUAAAGCUCUUUCACCGAUGAAGAUAAUGACGGUAGUCGGAGAAGAAGCCCCGGCUAACUUCGUG